rnacentral:rRNA from 1 species
UACGAGCGGCCCAAACGUUAUUCGGAAUUACUGGGCUUAAAGAGUUCGUAGGCGGCAUUGCAAGUAGGGUGUGAAAGCCCUCGGCUCAACCGAGGAAUUGCGCUCUAAACUGCAGUGCUUGAGGAAGCUAGAGGUGAGCGGAACUGAUGGUGGAGCGGUGAAAUGCGUUGAUAUCAUCAGGAACACCGGAGGCGAAGGCGGCUCACUGGGGCUUUUCUGACGCUGAGGAACGAAAGCCAGGGUAGCGAACGGG